ACCCGGUUCGGUUUGGGCUUUAUCUGCAGACACCGAAAGACACUGCCGCUCUUCCGCCCACCGACUGCUGACGUCCUUGCGUCACUGGGGAGUUUGGGCAAAUGCUUCCCCGGCUCUCCGGACACCAUUUAAAGGUGCCCACGGAUAGGCUGUGGGUUAAGACAGCGUCGGGGGAUUUCUGUGCAUGGGGUUUUGUUGUUUUUGUCAUGGUGCAAACAUGCAGUAAUGAAGUAUGAAUGAUUUGGUUAUUUAUCAUAAAUUGUAACAUGUAUGAAGUUUAAUUUAAUAAAAAGCUCGUCUAUGGUGGGAGGAUGGAUCUGUGGACUAAGCAACCACUUGUUCCCCCAGCCUUUGACUUCCCAGUAAAUCUAGCUGGUAAAGGUCGCCUUCACACCCUGGUGUCUCGGUUAGAGUUUGAACCAAUGUUUAGAUUUACAGUGUCCAAAAAUCCAGUUUAAAUAGAAAGCACUUUAGUCAUAUACAGUAACAACUCUGAGAAAGUGUCUGAGCUAUUAGUGAUCUUUUCAUAUUUUGGCAGGUUACUACUGUCCAAAGCAGAUGGAAUCAUUUUAUUCCCUUUCUGUGUCCUCCAAUAGCAUAAAAAAGCCAGCUCAUUGUUUCAAGUACUAUGGAAAAACAAACUCCAUUAUAUCAGAGUAUCUGAAUUAGUAAGAGAGUCAAAUACAGGGAGGAUAAAUCUUUGUGUCUUCUUCCAGAAUAUGUGUAGUUUCAUUAAUCCCUCUUUAAUUAAUCAGAUGGUGCUCAUCCUCAAAAGGAAGUCUGUUAUUAAGUGUAAUGGGUUUACGAACAGAACGGACAUGGAUUUGGUCCAUAGAAAUGAUAACAUGUUGGAUUAUCUGUCAUGUUCAGGAAAACGAUGAGAUGUAUAAAGCUCUAUAAAAUUCAAAA